rnacentral:lncRNA from 1 species
AUAGGGAUGGCAGAAAAACCCAAACCCGUGAGACCCACCCGAACCCAAACCCAAGUCAACGGGCGAAACCCGAAUUGACUGGGUUUGGGUUUGGGUUUGGGUGACACCCGAAAAUAUGGGUGUGGGUUUGNNNNNNNNNNNNNCCUUGUAAUUUUAAACCUAUGUUUUUGCUAAGUGAUUGACAAUAUGUUUAAAUUCCAUUGUUUUUGCUUAAAUUUACCUUGUUUUGCUUAAAUUUGCAAAGUAGUACAAAAUGUGUUGUGGGUUUGGGUUUUGGUGUAAAAAACCCGAACCCAAUGGGUGUGGGC